CACGUAGGCACCAAGCGUUGUCCGGAUUUAUUGGGCGUAAAGAGCUCGUAGGCGGUUCAGUAAGUCGGGUGUGAAAACUUUGGGCUUAACCCAAAGCGUGCAUCCGAUACUGCUGUGACUUGAGUUCGGUAGGGGAGUGGGGAAUUCCUAGUGUAGCGGUGAAAUGCGCAGAUAUUAGGAGGAACACCGGUGGCGAAGGCGGCGACCUGGGUAGAUACUGACGCUGAGGUGCGAAAGCGUGGGGAGCAAACAGG
rnacentral:rRNA from 1 species